UACAAAGUAAUUAACUUUUAUAAGUAUACUUCGUAACUGCACAGAACCAAAUAAAUUAUUUAAAAUUUCAGCGUUUUCAAUUACAUUCGGUCAAACAAGAUGCAUACAACAAUACUAUAUUUAUAAUAAAUCCUAAACUUUUUUUCCUCAACCUUUCAUUCCCUUUUAUAUUUUUUUCAUAAUAAUAUUCGACACACUAUUGUUUCGAAUUAGAUAAUGAGAAUUGA
rnacentral:lncRNA from 1 species